rnacentral:rRNA from 1 species
AUUGAACGCUGGCGGCAUGCUUUACACAUGCCAGUCGAACGGUAACAGGCCUUCGGGUGCUGACGAGUGGCGAACGGGUGAGUAAUGCAUCGGAACGUACCCAGAGGUGGGGGAUAACGCAGCGAAAGCUGUGCUAAUACCGCAUGUGAUCUGAGGAUGAAAGCGGGGGACCGAGCAGCAAUGUUUGGCCUCGCGCCUUUGGAGCGGCCGAUGUCGGAUUAGCUAGUUGGUGGGGUAAAGGCCUACCAAGGCGACGAUCCGUAGCUGGUCUGAGAGGACGACCAGCCACACUGGGAGUGAGACACGCCCCAGACUCCUACGGGAGGCAGCAGUGGGGAAUUUUGGACAAUGGGCGCAAGCCUGAUCCAGCAAUGCCGCGUGCGGGAAGAAGGCCUUCGGGUUGUAAACCGCUUUUGGCAGGAACGAAACGGUGUCCGCUAAUACCGGGCGCUAAUGACGGUACCUGCAGAAUAAGCACCGGCUAACUACGUG